UCAACUUCGGAGGGAAACUUCGAAGGGAAAUUUCAUUGGCGACUACAAAAAUUGGUCGGGAAAGAAAGGUUUAAGAUUUCAGAUUUCAUUUUUCUGUCUCUGACUCUCUGACUCUCUCUCUCUCUCUUUCUCACUCUCUCACGCGUCUACCCUCCUCCAACUCUCUCUCUCGCCUUUGUCUCCGUCGGCGUCGGAUACGGGAGCAUCACCGCCAUCACGCCUCUGCCCUCCUCCAGCUCUCUCUCUCUCUCUCUCUCUCUCUCUCUCUCUCUCUCUCUCUCUCUUUCUGAUAGCAGCUCCUGUUCUUGACACUGGCGAGCUCAGACGCCCCUUUCAUCGUUGCCCACAAGAAGGCCACUCUCACCAGGCUCAAGUCCGGUGUCCAACAUGUCUUCACUAUAACUAUAGCUCAAUUUGGGUGAUGUAGUGCAAGUAGACACCUGACUGCAGAACAGGGGACAUUUUAACUAGAGCAUCCAGGUGGGAACAUUUUUCUUUUUUUUGAAUAUCAUGAUGCCGAUGUUAUGCAAAGUUCUUCUAUUAUGCUAUUUCUUUUGAAAAAGUUAAGUGGAGCCACAACUGCAUUGGAAAAUGGUGAAUAUAUUAUCUGUUUAUUCUUUGACAAAUAAAAUUAUGGGAUUAUUUGUUGAAUAUAUUUAAUGCUAGAGGAAGUAGCAAAAGAAGCAACUAAACAUAUAGAUCAUGCAAAAUUAGUUGGAAGUCUUCUGCUAAAAAGAUUCCCAACUUUCUUAAGAACAUGAAAGGUAUUCUCUGGAGAAUGUUUAGCCAAUGACCUUUAGACUGUGUGUGUCGAGUGUAACUUUCUGUGAACCAAUUGAAUGGCUUUUUUGGACUAACUGACGAGAGUUCUCUAUAGCAUGUAAAGCUAUAGUCUUUAGAGUUCCAAGAGUAACUUGUUUUGAAGUUGAAAUGGAAGAAAGUGAGAACAAGAGAUAACUUUUAUUCACCCAAAAAAAGAUCUAUAACUUGCUUUCCUAUAUAGUUUGAUUUAGAAGAAUAUUUCCAUGUUUAGUUGUAAGGAAUUGCAUUUGUUGAUAAUUAACUUUUGGAAGAUCUUUUGUGGUGUAUUGUAUUAUAUUUUGAUUUUCAAUUUGGUAAAAGAAAUGGAGCUGUAUCAUUUUCUAUGGGUUGAUUUACUUGGAAAUACUUGUAAUUUGUAAAAUUUAUUAUUUUUUCUUUAGAUAAUAUUUGUGAAAUGAUUUUCACACUUUUCUUUUAACCUUUCACAACGGGAGUGUGAGAGGCUAACGGGGGAGAGUGAAUAUAAUUUCUCUAAUAUUAUUAUUCAAUAGAAUGUAGAUCCAUUGCAAUAUUUUGAAUUUUAUCAAGGUCAGUUUUGUGGUAAUUGGCAUUUGAGGCCACCUUUAUUAUCAAUUCUAACUUGCUUUGGAAUUUUCUGUUUCUAUUUACAGCAUUCAUGGGCAAUGUGCAGCAACUAUGAAAUCUCUGUUAAGAGUAACUAUAACUUUGAAAAACCUUUCUUGCACCUUGCCAGGAAGCUUGCAGGGCACGAAGCUGAGCUUGCUGCAGCGGCUAGCCAGCCCCUUCCUGAUGAUGAUGACGAUGCAUUUGACUAAUGCUCAUGACUUUAGCUUUUUGCUAUCAUUUUUCGUGCUCCUUUAGUUAAUAUGAGUUCUAAAAAAAAAUUUCAACGCUAUCGAAGGAUUUGUGUAUGAGAGGUGAAUGUAUCGCGGAGAAGAGACCAUUUUAGUUAUUCUUUAGCCAUUGUUUGAAGUCUGGUUGUGGUUGUGCUUUGUGGUAGAAUUCUUUAGGCUGCCAUAUGGAUGUUUUGAGUCACUUCAAGUGUUUGCUUGAAGAUUUUAAAUUAUGUAUGGAUUUAAAUUAUUGACGUUGGAUUAGACUUGGACUAUAUGGAAUUUGUAU